rnacentral:rRNA from 1 species
AUACAGAGGUCUCAAGCGUUGUUCGGAUUCAUUGGGCGUAAAGGGUGCGUAGGUGGCGCGGUAAGUCGGGUGUGAAAUCCCGGAGCUUAACUCCGAAAUUGCAUUCGAUACUGCCGUGCUUGAGGACUGGAGAGGAGACUGGAAUUCAUGGUGUAGCAGUGAAAUGCGUAGAGAUCAUGAGGAAGACCAGUGGCGAAGGCGGGUCUCUGGACAGUUCCUGACGCUGAGGCGCGAAAGCUAGGGGAGCAAACG